rnacentral:rRNA from 1 species
UACGUAGGGUGCGAGCGUUGUCCGGAAUUAUUGGGCGUAAAGGGCUCGUAGGCGGUUUGUCGCGUCGGGAGUGAAAACACCGGGCUUAACUCGGUGCUUGCUUUCGAUACGGGCAGACUAGAGGCAUGCAGGGGAGAACGGAAUUCCUGGUGUAGCGGUGAAAUGCGCAGAUAUCAGGAGGAACACCGGUGGCGAAGGCGGUUCUCUGGGCAGUAACUGACGCUGAGGAGCGAAAGCGUGGGGAGCGAACAGG